GAUGAACGCUGGCGGCGUGCCUAAUUCAUGCAAGUCGAGCGAACAGACGAGGAGCUUGCUCCUCUGACGUUAGCGGCGGACGGGUGAGUAACACGUGGAUAACCUACCUAUAAGACUGGGAUAACUUCGGGAAACCGGAGCUAAUACCGGAUAAUAUAUUGAACCGCAUGGUUCAAUAGUGAAAGACGGUUUUGCUGUCACUUAUAGAUGGAUCCGCGCCGCAUUAGCUAGUUGGUAAGGUAACGGCUUACCAAGGCAACGAUGCGUAGCCGACCUGAGAGGGUGAUCGGCCACACUGGAACUGAGACACGGUCCAGACUCCUACGGGAGGCAGCAGUAGGGAAUCUUCCGCAAUGGGCGAAAGCCUGACGGAGCAACGCCGCGUGAGUGAUGAAGGUCUUCGGAUCGUAAAACUCUGUUAUUAGGGAAGAACAAAUGUGUAAGUAACUAUGCACGUCUUGACGGUACCUAAUCAGAAAGCCACGGCUAACUACGUG
rnacentral:rRNA from 1 species